AAUCUGCUAAGAAUGAGAAGAUAAAAGAGUUUGCUGGAGAUGCUUCUAAGUAUUGAAAAGGGAAAAAAUAGAAGAAGAAGAAGGAACAGAAAAUUAGACUCUUAUAAAGGAAAAAACACAAGCUAAACUAAAGUGCCCUUUAUCGUGAUGCACGCGGCUGAGGUUGGAACUCCUUUUUGCGAACCCCUAUUUGUGGCUCCAUCUCAGCCAUCAAAGUGAUCUCAAUGGCUGGAGAGAAAAAGAGAGCUUACAAUAGAAAUGUAUGCUGCACUGCCGGUUAGCGCACGUCCUCGAACGCCUUUUCCAAUCCCGCCUUUCUUCCAUCCAAUGGCGCCUGUUUGUAUUUUUUUUCAGACUCCCUCUUGUUCCUCUCCAACAAAUUCUCUCUCUCUCUCUCUCUCAGCUGUUUAUUCUCUGUGUUAGUGGCUAUUGAGUUAGGGUUGAUAACAGUUACUGUUCACAUUUUUCCCAUCUCCUUCGCCUCCUUCACCCACAUAGUACCCAAACACCGACAUCGCCUCCCUCAGACAUCUAUGAAUCCCAAGAAAAUCUUUUAGUUUUUAGAAUUCCAACCUUCAAAUAUAUUUCUUAGAAUUCAAAUUUUAAUUUUAACUAUUUUUAUUUUUUUGUGUUCAUUCUCUCUCACGAUGGCCUUCCUUGCCCGCCAGUCUAGGAGGAAGAGUGACGGGCCUUGGCUCUGUUUUGGGCCUGCUUCCCUGACUGGUUUUGGCGUCGACGGCUCCGUCUCUCUCUCCGGCGCUCUCUUUCUUGCUGUCUCUCGCGCUCUCUGCCCAUGAGAGCCUCCCUUCCUUCCAUAGAGAUGAGUUUGUUCCUCAAAAGGAAGGGCGUUGUCAGUUGAGUACUUGGAAAAUGACAUUAACAUCUUCCAGAGUGUGAAUGAUUGGCGGUGAAUUCUGUGGACAAUCUCUUUGGGAGGACUGGAAUACUAGAAAAGAAACUAUAUCUGAUAUUAUUGAUCUGCCAAAUAAACCGGAAGAAAGACUAACACUUGUGCAGCAGGAGCCUUUAGAGAAAGGGUCAACCAUCACGUAUGUUCCUACUAGAAAAGGAACGUUGAGCAUUGCAAACUAUCUCUGUAGGUGUGGCAUGAAGGCUGCUGCCUAUGAUGUAGUGGUAUGUAUCGUCAGAGUUUCUUACAGGUGUUAGUAUCGCGUAGCACCACGUGUCAUCAGGUUCAUUUUUGUAUCUUUAACUUAAAAAUUCACAAACAAUGAAUAAGAAAUUAAAAAAAAUGCACCGAAAAAAAAAAAAAAAAAACUCCUUGCGACAUUAUCUUCGGCUAUGAUGUGUGAUAAUAAAAUUUUGGCCUUGGGAAAUUUGAAGUAAUUAUUGGAGGAAGAGUUGUUGUAAAGGAGAGAUGAUUUUCAACAUAGUAUUAUUGUUAGCAUCAAAACAAACUUGACUUUGAGAAAUUAUUUGAAUUUUACAUGUCAAAAUUAUAUUUUAAAGCUUAGCCGCGGUAGACAUUAGAGUUUACAGGGAUGAAGCAAUAGACAUUAGAGUUUAUAGGGAUGAAGCAAGUGAAGGAGUUGAGUCUGAUUCAAUCCUUCUCCACUGAUAAUAGCGCUGUCAAUGAGUUGUCAAGCUGCCAUUGUGCUGCUGGUUUAGCAUCAGUGGAUUUUAUUAUUUGGAACUUAUUAACUGAGACCAAGGUAGAGUCUUUUCCUUUUCCUCAGACGGCUUACUGAAAUGAUUUGAAAGUUGUUUGUGUUAUUUAUUUUGAUGCCUAAGGACCCAUAUUUUGUUGCAGGUUGUGCAAAUUCCAUGUGGUGGAUGGAGUCGCCCACAUUCCUAUUAUCUUGGUGAUGUACCAGAAAUAAAGAACUGCUUUGCAUAUGUUAAGGUUUGUGCCAAUCUAUUUAGAAUUGGUAAUUUCAGAGGCACAAAUAAAAUAAACAUUGUGGAAAGAUACAUCCACGGAGUAGGUCAAAAGUAUUUUUUGUCAUCUGAAAAUACACAUCCAUAAAUGCAUGAUAUGAGUUCCUUUAAUUUUGUGUCAUGAAUUGCUUUGUGAAUUGUUUUGCUGCAAUCAUAUCAUUCUAUCUUUUGUUAAUAUUGAUCGUAUGUUUCAUUUGUUUACUUUGAAAAGAUAAGGUUUCAUUUAAAUUGUAUCUUAACUCUGCACUAUAUUUCUUUGAUUAGUUAGGAUGAAAUCAUUUAUAUUCAUAGGCAGUGGGUGCUUGAUGGUGAAAGGAAGACACUCUCCGGGAAUUUGCAUAUGCAAUUCCAUGGGAGAGAGAUGCAUUCCAUAUGCUUUGUCUCAGGAGGAUUUCAACCUGGAGUAUAUGGGAAGCACAACCUCUUCUCUGCAUCUAGUUGGAUCGCAACUGGGUGUGAAGAUAGAACUGUGAGGUUGACUAGGUACCGUAUGAUUAUAAUUAUUAGCUAUUUAAUAUUUGAAAUUUAAAAAUAAAAUUGUAAAGGGAAAAAUAGUUGAAUUUAUUGUAUAAUUUAAUUGAAUGUAUUUACACUUCUGUUAUCCUUGAGAAUUGAGCUGACAGUAUACAUGCAUGUUGUAGCCUACAUAAAAAUGAAUAUAUGCAUGAUAUUUAUUUAACAUA